CGAGCUGGGCGGGGCGCUGCUGUCCGCCCGCCUCCUUGGGCCUAGCGGAGCCCGCGCUGCACCGCUUCUUCCUCUCCCUCCGGAUCCCGGGCCAGGGAGGCCGGCCACGUGGGCGCGCGCCAGGAGGGAGCGGCCCUUUACGACCCCCGCCGGGCAAGAAUCCUUUGCUGGCUGGGCAACGUGUCCUGCAACAGAGUGAUGCACCAUGCCUAUAGUGGACAAACUGAAAGAAGCCCUAAAGCCUGGGCGAAAGGACUCUGCUGAUGAUGUGGAGCUGGGCAAGCUGUUGGCAGCUUCGGCCAAGAAGAUUUUGCUGCAAAGGAUUGAGUUUGAACCAGCUUCGAAAAGCUUCUCCUACCAGCUAGAGAGCCUGAAAAGCAAGUACAUUCUACUGAACCCAAAGACAGAAAACCCCAGUCGGCACAAGGGCUCCGAAGAGGGAUCCAACCGAAAGCAAGGCAUUGAGCAUGUCCUGGGAGGAGAUGGAGUGCCAGCCCCACAGAAAGUCCUCUUCCCUGUGGAGCGUCUCUCCCUGAAAUGGGAGCGGGUAUAUCGUGUCGGAGCUGGUCUCCACAACCUGGGCAAUACUUGUUUUCUGAAUUCCACUUUGCAGUGUCUGACAUACACUCCCCCUCUCGCCAAUUAUCUGCUUUCCAAGGAGCACAGUCGCAGCUGCCACCAGGGAGGCUUUUGCAUGAUGUGUAUUAUGCAGAAUCACAUGAUACAGGCAUUUGCCAACAGCAGCAAUGCCAUCAAGCCAGUGUCCUUCAUCAGGGAUCUUAAAAAGAUUGCUCGUCAUUUCCGCUUUGGCAGCCAGGAAGAUGCUCACGAGUUCUUGCGCUACACCAUUGAUGCCAUGCAGAAGGCCUGCCUCAAUGGCUAUACCAAGCUGGAUCGCCAGACCCAGGCUACCACAUUGGUUCAUCAGAUCUUCGGUGGCUACCUCCGAUCUCGUGUGAAGUGCUCCAUGUGCAAAAGCGUUUCAGACACCUAUGACCCCUUCCUGGACGUGGCUUUGGAGAUCAGGCAGGCUGCCAACAUUGUUCGGGCACUAGAAUUAUUUGUAAAGGCAGAUGUGCUGAGUGGGGAGAACGCCUACAUGUGUGCCAAGUGCAAGAAGAAAGUGCCAGCCAGCAAACGCUUUACUAUCCAUCGAGCAUCCAAUGUCCUCACAAUCUCUCUCAAGCGCUUUGCCAACUUCAGUGGAGGCAAGAUUACCAAGGAUGUAGGCUACCCUGAAUUCCUGAACAUCCGUCCUUACAUGUCACAGAGCAGCGGUGACCCUGUCAUGUAUGGUCUCUAUGCUGUGCUUGUACAUUCAGGUUACAGCUGCCAUGCAGGGCAUUACUACUGCUAUGUCAAGGCUAGUAAUGGGCAGUGGUACCAGAUGAAUGACUCCCUAGUACAUUCAAGCAACAUCAAAGUUGUUCUCAACCAACAGGCUUAUGUGCUCUUCUAUCUAAGGAUCCCAAGUACAAGGAAGAAUCCUGAAGGGCCUAUCUCCAAAAGCUCUGUGUCCAACCGAGCAAGUAUAGUCUCUGACCAUAUGAAGAAAAGCAUGACCAAUGGUUCCUUGUCUUCACCACUGAUGAGUAAAAAACAAGAUGCAGCUCAGGUCAAGAAGGUGUCUUCAGAUACCGAGGAAUCUGGCGUCCCUAUUUCCCGCAGUUCUUUUACUACUCACUCCAAACAGCAGAAUGGGACAUUUUCUUCUCCUUCUCAUUCUCCUCUUCCCAAGUUUAUACCUACCAUUGGAUUCUCAUCUCCUAAACUCCCCAGCAAGCCAGCCUUUUUGGAUGACUUAAGCAAGAGAUCCAAGAAGCAGUCUGUUCUGUCCCUCAAAACAUCUCAGGACUUUAAUGAGAAUGGCAGUGCCAGGGUCGAUACGGGCAAGCAGAAUUCUUGGGGCGACAAGGGGUUGGCAUCAUCAUCUUCACAUCUGGCAGGUCCUCCUAGAGGGGAUCCUGAGGCCAAAAUGCGCGAUGGAGGCACAGAGCUACCCAGUAAGGACUCCUCGUCUUUGACCUCUUCUUUGUCGCCAUCGCCAUCCUCUUCUAGCAGUUCCUCUUCAUCCAGCCCUGCACAUAACUCCCUCAAGGGACUUCCACAGACAACAAUAGGCAUCAAUGGCUACUGCUCUUCUCAGGAAACGGACUGUGCCUCUGGGAAACAUGGUUCUGAGGACUCCAAGUUUGCCAAGCUAAAGUCGCCCUUGUUGGCUAAUGUGAACAAUCUGGAGCUGGGAAGUACUAUGUCACCUCCACCUGCAAAGAAAUUGGCACUUUCUGCCAGGAAGGGCAGCAACACACUGCAGAAAGUGAGCGGCAGUGAGCGUCGAGCGCCGCCCCACUCCCCACCAGCUGCCACAAAUACCAUCCACCCUGUUCGUGCCGCUGCGCUUGGCUGUCCCAGGGUGCUCUCACCUACUUCCAAAUCUUCAGCACCUCUGCAACUACCUGACAGCACCUUUGUCGACGUCCCACCCUCAUCCAGCUUCAAACCACGCUGCCUCUCUGCUGCUGCCCCUUCGUCACCACCUGCUGUGCCCACACAGGCCCUGAGCCACGCCCACCCAGAUAAGGGACCUUUCCUUAACAGCUCAAGGAAGAUGAAAAGGAAGCAUAGUACCCCAGGGGAAGAACAAGGUACUCAUUGCGGCCCAAAUGUGACUAACUUCAGUGCAGAGGGUACCCAGCUGCUCAGUCCUCCCAGGAAGAAGAGGCAGCUGAAGGAAAAUGGCAGUGUUUUGUCCUCUUCUGUAAGGAAGAGUGACGUGGCAGCAGCCAAGAAGGAAAAAGAGGGGGAAACAUAUUUGGACGCCAGGUCACCAGAUUCUGUUCGGAAGAAGAAGAAGAAAAGGCUUCAUCAGAAGGAUGAAGACUGCACACUACUACUGUCCACUGUGAACAGCUGCCCUUCACAGUGUGAGGGAGAAAUAUCGGGAGAGGAGCCCUGUGACAUGAAGAAGAAAAAGAAGAAGAAAAAGAAGAAGAACCAGAACUUGUCAACAGGCUCAGACAAAGGCAGCUAUGCUGAAGAGAGUGAGCAUCGGAAGCACAAGAAGAGGGAGAGCCAGGGGGAUCCGGUGCCUGUGGUGAGCAGCCCCCAAGAAAAACGACACAGGAAUGGCAUCUCAGCAAGACUUAGCCCUUCAGUAGCCUUGGCUUGUAGCAGCCAGCUUAGACAUGAGGACAACUGCUCCUUCAACUUCCAGAGUCCAAAGAAGGAAGUGAUUCAGCACAAGCAUGGGCAGCCUGAUGUACUCCAGGAGCUGCUGAAGGAUUCCUUGGAUAAGGCGUAUGGAAAGCGAGUGCUGACGUGGGAAGGUGAAGUGUCUGCUGUCAGCCAGGAUGCCAUGCAAGAUACUGCAUGGUCCAGGAGCCAGACAGUUAUGGACGAAUGGGAUGAAGAGUUUGACAGUGGGAAGGUAAAGAAAAUUAAGAAGCUCAAACGUGAGCGGAGAAAAAACUUCAAUGCCUUCCAGAAAUUGCAAAGCCGGCGUAACUUCUGGGCUGAGACACAUCCAGCUAAAUUGGCUAGCCUGAGCUAUCGACUCUGAGAUGGUGAGGAGUUACUAGAGGAUAAUCACAUCCAGAGAAGGAGUGGGAAUUGCAACAUUGUGUUCUGGGAGCAGGCAGAUGGAUAAGGACUGCUUUAGAAUAGGGAUCUCAACCCCACAGAUGAGUCCGUGCCUGCAGCCAUGCUGUGGCAGUUCCUGUAUCUUGGCGUUGCUACUGACCAGCACUGAAAUGCCAAUUGUUGCAGGCUACCAACUAUUUAUGGAAUUUGCAGGGAAAGUCCUCCUCUUGACCCAAAUGGGACACUGCCAUUUCAGAGGGCUCUUGGUGGAUCUUCUGUGCAUCUUCUAAGGGAAAGCAGGAGCACUGCAAGAAACGAAACCCAUGCCUGGGGAAGGCACCAUCCCAGCAAGGCAGUGGAGGCACUUGGUAUAGAGCAAGAGUGGGUCCAGGAGUGAAUAGCCUCCUGGGAUGAAAGUCACCUUGACCUCCACAAGGCCUUCACCUCCACACGAGACCUAGGCCUGAUGAGCUACGCUGCCCUUCCAGAAGAUGAAGAAAGCCAAGAUCUGUGUCUUAACUUCUGAGAGGUGGACACUGUAUUGCAUGAAGUGACAUAUGCCCCUUUCUCUGCUGUCCAGAUAUGUCAUAAUAACAGGGUAGCUUUUGUGGCUUUUCUUCAGCCACAUG